rnacentral:rRNA from 1 species
AUGAGAGAUGCUUUUGCUGAAAUGAUAAUUAUGGAUGGGCUCCCAUUUGCAUUUUCCGAGAAACCAGGAUUUACAAAGUUAAUGUCAAAGGCACGUCGUCGCUUUACUGUGCCAUCUAGGAGAACCACUAUCAGUUAUUGUGUCCACAUUUACUAUUGUGAGAAAGUGAAACUGAAAAAGUUCUUCAAAGAAUCUUGUGAUAGGGUCAGCCUAACAACCGACACCUGGACAUCUAUGCAACAGCAGAGCUAUAUCUGUGUUACGGCUCAUUUCCUUGACACUGACUGGAAGCUACAUAAGCGGAUUAUUGGGUUCUUCUUGGUGGGUGGUCGUAAGGGGGAAGACAUUGAGAAGGACAUCAAGAGGUGUUUGCUUGAUUCGGGUUUAGAGAAAGUGUUCUCCAUAACUGUUGACAAUGCAUCAGCAAAUGAUGGCACUAUAAGUAAAUGA